rnacentral:rRNA from 1 species
GACGAAUGCUGGCUGCGUGCUUAACACAUGCAAGUCGAACGGUGAAGGGGAGCUUGCUCCCCGGAUCAGUGGCGAACGGGUGAGUAUCACGUGGGCAACCUGCCCCUCACUCUGGGAUAACUCCGGGAAACCGGGGCUAAUACCGGAUACGACCGGGAGCGACAUCGCUCCUGGUGGAAAGAACUUCGGUGAGGGAUGGGCCCGCGGCCUAUCAGCGAGUUGGUGGGGUAACGGCCUACCAAGGCGAGGACGGGUAGCCGGCCUGAGAGGGCGACCGGCCACACUGGGUCUGAGACACGGCCCAGACUCCUACGGGAGGCAGCAGUGGGGAAUAUUGCGCAGUGGGCGAAAGCCUGACGCAGCGACGCAGCGUGAGGGACGAAGGCCUUCGGGUUGUAAACCUCUUUCAGCGGGGACGAAGCGAAAGUGACGGUACCCGCAGAAGAAGCACCGGCUAACUACGUGCCAGCAGCCGCCGCCG